rnacentral:rRNA from 1 species
CCUACGGGAGGCAGCAGUGGGGAAUCUUGCGCAAUGGGCGAAAGCCUGACGCAGCCAUGCCGCGUGUAUGAUGAAGGUCUUAGGAUUGUAAAAUACUUUCACCGGUGAAGAUAAUGACUGUAGCCGGAGAAGAAGCCCCGGCUAACUUCGUGCCAGCAGCCGCGGUAAUACGAAGGGGGCUAGCGUUGCUCGGAAUUACUGGGCGUAAAGGGAGCGUAGGCGGACAUUUAAGUCAGAGGUGAAAUCCCGGAGCUUAACUUCGGAACUGCCUUUGAUACUGGGUGUCUUGAGUGUGAGAGAGGUAUGUGGAACUCCGAGUGUAGAGGUGAAAUUCGUAGAUAUUCGGAAGAACACCAGUGGCGAAGGCGACAUACUGGCUCAUUACUGACGCUGAGGCUCGAAAGCGUGGGGAGCAAACAGGAUUAGAUACCCUGGUAGUCCACGCCGUAAACGAUGAUGUCUAGUUGUCGGUAGCGUUGUCUUCUCGGUGACGCGAGCUACGACAUUAAGUACAACUACCGCCGUCGGGGUAGGUACGGUCGCGAAGAAUUAAAACUUAACAAUAGAAGUUAGUACGGCGUGAGACGUCGCCGACGGACGACGACGAGGGAGGAGG